CCUUCCUCAACUCACAUUAAUCCGGAAUGUCCUGAGAGCUUCCACAUGCGUACAGCACCUCAAAAGGAAACUCCCAGUACCAACCACAACAGCAGCACCCACCACACCCGCUGCCACCACCCACAGCAGCCAGCUCACCAGCAAGGACAUCUCCCGGCACAGCCCGCAUCCAGGAACAAGCAAGGAGAGCACACUGAAUUCAUGCUGUGAUACAGUCCUGUGGGUUAACCUGUCUUGCGCCUGCCUC